rnacentral:tRNA from 1 species
GUCCUCGUAGCUUACACAAAGCAUGACACUGAAGAUGUCAAGACGGUCGCUACACCGCACCCAAGGACA